rnacentral:rRNA from 1 species
UUGGGCAAGUCUGGUGCCAGCAGCCGCGGUAAUUCCAGCUCCAAUAGCGUAUAUUAAAGUUGUUGCAGUUAAAAAGCUCGUAGUUGAAUUUCGGGGUUAGUAGGCUGGUCAUGCCUCUGGUAUGUACUGGUCUCACUGAUUCCUCCUUCCUGAUGAGCCGUAAUGCCAUUAAUUUGGUGUUGCGGGGAAUUUGGACUGUUACUUUGAAAAAAUUAGAGUGUUUAAAGCAAGCUAACGCUUGAAUACAUUAGCAUGGAAUAAUGAAAUAGGACGUUCGAUCCUAUUUUGUUGGUUUCUAGGAUUGACGUAAUGAUUAAUAGGGAUAGUUGGGGGCAUUAGUAUUCAAUUGUCAGAGGUGAAAUUCUUGGAUUUAUUGAAGACUAACUACUGCGAAAGCAUUUGCCAAGGAUGUUUUCAUUAAUCAAGAACGAAAGUUAGGGGAUCGAAGACGAUCAGAUACCGUCGUAGUCUUAACCAUAAACUAUGCCGACUAGGGAUCGGAUGAUGUUAAUUUUUUAAUGACUCAUUCGGCGCCUUACGGGAAACA